rnacentral:rRNA from 1 species
UACGUAGGGGGCUAGCGUUGUCCGGAUUUAUUGGGCGUAAAGAGCGUGUAGGCGGCCAGGCAGGUCUGGUGUGAAAACUCGAGGCUUAACCUCGAGAUGUCAUCGGAAACCAUCUGGCUAGAGUCCGGAAGAGGAGAGUGGAAUUCCUGGUGUAGCGGUGAAAUGCGCAGAUAUCAGGAAGAACACCAAUGGCGAAAGCAGCUCUCUGGGACGGUACUGACGCUGAGACGCGAAAGCGUGGGGAGCAAACAGG